GACAGGGCGGCCGGCUGCACUGAGCGCCUGCUGUGUGCGCCAGAGGCCCCCUGGCCGGGCAGAGCCUCCGCCGGGCUCCUGGCCCCAUGGGGGGGUCACCACGGCGCCCAGACGCCGCGUCGCCUGUCCCCAGGCCCGGCCCUAACUGGAUUAGGGGACAGGAAGGAGCGGCUCGGGAGUUCAUCUGCUGCCCUUGGCCCCAGAUGGACGGUGGCCAGAGCCGGGGGCCGGGAGGGGCGGCGAGCACGGUGUCUGCGGGGCGGGGAGCGGCCCCCACCCGUCCACGCGCCCCCCAGCCUCUCCUGUGAGCGACCUUUGCUCACGGUCCCUCCGGCCCUUCUGCAGCACAGGGACACCUGGCCACACGUCCCCUCCAUCCGGACACAGGUGCCCCUGUCCACAGCCCGUCCCCGAGACGGCCAGCCGCUCGGGCCAGCGUGUCUGAUGCCCCUGACAGAGCUCCCAGGAUGGACAGAGGAGGAGCUGCGUGGAGGGCUCACCCCUGGAGCUGAGCUUCCAAGCGUUGAAGCGCCGCUCAGAGAGUGCGGUGCCGUCGAUCGGAGCACGUGGUCAUCCGAGGGAGCAGCACAAUAAAACAGCACCCGUGUCACGUGGCAUAUAGACCGACAUGUGUGUAACUCCACCUACUGAGAAACAUCCGCACGACUGACCGGUCCACCUCGCACGCACCCAUUCUGCAGCCGGGAUGACGGAGUCACGGCCGCGGGGGCCUGCGCAGCCAGCACGCUGACGUCUCGCACGCACGGGAGGAAUCGCAGGAACGUGGAGCCCUGAACCCCAUGGAGGCCAGCGGUGGGGGGCCUGGGGGCCGGUGCA